AGAGUUUGAUCAUGGCUCAGGAUGAACGCUGGCGGCGUGCCUAAUACAUGCAAGUCGAACGGAGAUUGUAGCAAUACGGUCUUAGUGGCGAACGGGUGAGUAACGCGUUGGUGACCUGCCCCGAAGUGUGGGAUAACAGCUCGAAAGGGCUGCUAAUACCGCAUGUGGUUUUCCGGAUUAGAUGCCGGAUUUCUAAAGGAGUAAUUCGCUUCGGGAGGGGCCUGCGUCCCAUCAGCUUGUUGGUAGGGUAAUGGCCUACCAAGGCAAUGACGGGUAGGGGACCUGAGAGGGUGACCCCCCACAAUGGAACUGAAACACGGUCCAUACACCUACGGGUGGCAGCAGUAGGGAAUAUUGGUUAAUGGGCGAAAGCCUGAACCAGCAACGCCGCGUGUGCGAUGAAGGCCUUCGGGUUGUAAAGCACUUUUUGAGGGGAUGAGGAAGGACAGUACCCUCAGAAUAAGUCUCGGCUAACUACGUGCCAGCAGCCGCGGUAACACGUAGGAGACUAGCGUUAUUCGGAUUUACUGGGCGUAAAGCGCGUGCAGGCGGUUCGGUAAGUUGGAUGUGAAAGCUCCCGGCUUAACUGGGAGAGGUCGUUCAAUACUGUCGAACUUGAGAGUGGUAGAGGGAGGUGGAAUUCCGGGUGUAGUGGUAAAAUGCGUAGGUAUCCGGAAGAACACCAGUGGCGAAAGCGGCCUCCUGGACCAUUUCUGACGCUCAGACGCGAAAGCUAGGGUAGCGAACGGGAUUAGAGACCCCGGUAGUCCUAGCCGUAAACGAUGUAGACUUGGCGUUGGAGGGGUUAAAUCCUUCAGUGCCGAAGCUAACGCGAUAAGUCUACCGCCUGGGGACUACGGCCGCAAGGUUAAAACUCAAAUGAAUUGACGG
rnacentral:rRNA from 1 species